rnacentral:rRNA from 1 species
GACGAACGCUGGCGGCGUGCUUAACACAUGCAAGUCGAACGAUGAAGCCCAGCUUGCUGGGUGGAAGAGUGGCGAACGGGUGAGUAACACGUGAGUAACCUGCCCUGAACUCUGGGAUAAGCACUGGAAACGGUGUCUAAUACUGGAUACGACCUAUCACCGCAUGGUGUGUGGGUGGAAAGAUUUAUCGGUUCUGGAUGGACUCGCGGCCUAUCAGCUAGAUGGUGAGGUAAUGGCUCACCAUGGCGACGACGGGUAGCCGGCCUGAGAGGGUGACCGGCCACACUGGGACUGAGACACGGCCCAGACUCCCACGGGAGGCAGCAGUGGGGAAUAUUGCACAAUGGGCGCAAGCCUGAUGCAGCAACGCCGCGUGAGGGAUGACGGCCUUCGGGUUGUAAACCUCUUUUAGUAGGGAAGAAGCGAAAGUGACGGUACCUGCAGAAAAAGCACCGGCUAACUACGUG